rnacentral:rRNA from 1 species
AGUGAACGCUGGCGGUAGGCCUAACACAUGCAAGUCGAACGGCAGCACAGUAAGAGCUUGCUCUUAUGGGUGGCGAGUGGCGGACGGGUGAGGAAUACAUCGGAAUCUACUUUUUCGUGGGGAUAACGUAGGGAAACUUACGCUAAUACCGCAUACGACCUACGGGUGAAAGCAGGGGAUCUUCGGACCUUGCGCGAUUGAAUGAGCCGAUGUCGGAUUAGCUAGUUGGCGGGGUAAAGGCCCACCAAGGCGACGAUCCGUAGCUGGUCUGAGAGGAUGAUCAGCCACACUGGAACUGAGACACGGUCCAGACUCCUACGGGAGGCAGCAGUGGGGAAUAUUGGACAAUGGGCGCAAGCCUGAUCCAGCCAUACCGCGUGGGUGAAGAAGGCCUUCGGGUUGUAAAGCCCUUUUGUUGGGAAAGAAAAGCAGCAGGUUAAUACCCCGCUGUUCUGACGGUACCCAAAGAAUAAGCACCGGCUAACUUCGUG